rnacentral:rRNA from 1 species
GAUGAACGCUGGCGGCGUGCCUAAUACAUGCAAGUCGAGCGAACAGACGAGGAGCUUGCUCCUCUGACGUUAGCGGCGGACGGGUGAGUAACACGUGGAUAACCUACCUAUAAGACUGGGAUAACUUCGGGAAACCGGAGCUAAUACCGGAUAAUAUAUUGAACCGCAUGGUUCAAUAGUGAAAGACGGUUUUGCUGUCACUGAUAGAUGGAUCCGCGCCGCAUUAGCUAGUUGGUAAGGUAACGGCUUACCAAGGCAACGAUGCGUAGCCGACCUGAGAGGGUGAUCGGCCACACUGGAACUGAGACACGGUCCAGACUCCUACGGGAGGCAGCAGUAGGGAAUCGUCCGCAAUGGGCGAAAGCCUGACGGAGCAACGCCGCGUGAGUGAUGAAGGUCUUCGGAUCGUAAAACUCUGUUAUUAGGGAAGAACAAAUGUGUAAGUAACUAUGCACGUCUUGACGGUACCUAAUCAGAAAGCCACGGCUAACUACGUG